UCUGAGAUGAGCUCUACCUCUACUUUCUCUAGCACCUCCUUAAGGCACUUUGCUUCAGCCUUAGCCUUCUUUGCCUCAGAUUGGGCUUUCUUCGUAGCCUCAUUUGUCUCGAAGGCUUUCUUCUCAAAUGCAUCGGCCUUGAAAUGGGCCUCGACAGCCUCUGACCAUGACAAUUUUGCUAAGUUAGUAAAGAUAGCCAAAUAGUGGCUAAGCUAUGAAAAUAGGGGAAGAUC
rnacentral:lncRNA from 1 species